rnacentral:rRNA from 1 species
UACGUAGAUCCCGAGCGUUGUCCGGAUUUAUUGGGCGUAAAGCGAGCGCAGGUGGUUUAUUAAGUCUGGUGCAAAAGGCAGUGGCUCAACCAUUGUAUGCAUUGGAAACUGGUAGACUUGAGUGCAGGAGAGGAGAGUGGAAUUCCAUGUGUAGCGGUGAAAUGCGUAGAUAUAUGGAGGAACUCCGAUUGCGAAGGCAGCAUACCGGCGCCCGACUGACGCUGAAGCACGAAAGCGUGGGUAUCGAACAGG